GCGUUCCCCACCUUCCCACCCCUUGGAGGGGCAGCCCCAUAGCAGGAGCGGGCGCCCCGGCUUUACCUUGAUGCUGGGUGACCAAUGCUUAACCUCAGCCUUCACCCCACCACCCCCAGCUCCUCUCUCAGCCCGCUCGGGGUGAGCACUGGGGGCUUGGGGACCCCCCAAGUGCUGCCCAAAGCACCCUCCCUGCGUGGUGGGGGUGAUGGGGGGGCUUCGGCACCCCCCUGCCCGCAGCUUUGCUCCCCUUUCCCUGCCCCUGUGGGUCGCUGCCGCCAGCCUCGGGUGCCCAGGUCCCGGCUGCUUCCACACUCAUCAGCCCAGGCCAGUGCUGGGCCACACAGCAGCUCUGCCAGACCCGGCCCCAUGCCAGAGCAGGAUGGGCCCCCAGUCGACACUGGGCACGUGCCAGCUCUUGUUUUGGCACCACUCCUGCGGCACACACGGCUCCUUCCCUCUCAUGCGGCAGGACAUGCCUUGGCAUCAGGCUGGGUGCACCCCACAUCGUGCCCCCCUUCCCUGUGGGGUCUGCAGGAGGGUGCCCCUCGGGGACCCUGCAGAGAGCACUCUGCGCUCUUGGGCUGCAGCUUGUCCCCUCCUUUAGGCGAGGCUGGGCAGGGGGAGGCACAUAACUUGGGGCACCCGCGGGCCUUGGCCUGGGGAGGGAGCUGCGCCCCACAAGUGGUGCCUUCCCCCAUGUCCCUUCUGGGCUCAUCCCCCCCCGGUGCUGGGGUUUUCUCUCCCCUUCAGACCCCGGCUGGGGCAGGGGCAUUGCCCGGGGGGCUUGACCCUCUUCUGGCCGGGCCGCUGGAGCCCCCCAGCCCUGGCACUGCGGGUUUGAGCCUUAGUUCCCCCCCCGGGGCGCCGGUUCCAGCGCUGCCCCGUGCUCUCCUCACAGCGGAGAGCCGUGAGGCCGCAUCCUGCACCAGGCCAGCGCGUCCCCGGCCUCGGGCAGGGCGCGGGGACCCCGGUUUGCUUUCCCCCGGGUGUGCGGGUGUUGGUGUGCGGCGCCUGACCCGGCGCAGGGUAACGUUGAAUAAAGAGCACCUGAACCGAGAGAGCCAGCGCCGUGCCUCCCGCGCUGCGUGACCGCCCCGCGGCGCCGCCGUCCCGCAGGGCCCGCUGUGCCGCCGUCUGGUUGCAAUCAGCACCGGGGCCGGGCCCCGCGCCAGCCCCGCGCCUUCAAAAGGGACGGCGGGAGCCGCACGGAGCCAGAGCCGCGGGCGCCGGGCGCAGAGCACCAUGUCGCGACUCAUCCCGCUGCUGCUCCUGGCGGCUCUGGGCUGUGCCAAGCUGAAGCGGCGGCCGCUGGCGUCGGACGAUGGAGCAGACGCUCAGGAACCUGCUGCUGUUCGACCACCACACGGUGCUGCCCGACUACGGGAGGAUCCGGUCGCUGUCGGGGGCUCUGGACGGGCUGUACCGGGACUUCACGGCGCUGAAGGAGCAGCUGGGGCAGCUCUCGGCGCGCUUCGCCGAGCUCGAAGCCUUCGUGGAGCAGCUCAGCCGGGACCGCGGCACCGGAGCCCCCCUGCGCCGCCGGGGGCCGCCCCGCGCCCCGCAAUAGCACCGGGCGGGUCCAUGGUGG